rnacentral:misc_RNA from 1 species
AGCUGCACCAGCUAAGGAAGAAGCUGUACAAAACGACGUCGAUCCAAUAGUAGAUGUGAAGAAGAAUGAGUUUUACUACUAUCACCAUCCUCAGAAUCAUCAGCUGUACAAUAAUCCACAGAGGCUUGCACAUGAAAUGUUUGCGUACCCUCCACCUCCGCAGAUUUUCAGCGAUGAAAAUCCGAAUGCAUGUUCCGUGAUGUAAAUUUGGAGGGAUAUGAGGGGUAAAAAGGGCAAUGUACGUCCAACCCCUCUUGUGGUGGUGCUCUUCAUGUGAGGCUUUGUCUUGGGACUCGCUAAGUUACAAGUGAUCUACUAGACAAAUACUGUAGAAUUUUAUGAGCCCCCUGUACUUUUUUU